UACAGAGGGGGCAAGCGUUGUUCGGAAUUACUGGGCGUAAAGGGCGCGUAGGCGGCCCGCUAAGUCGAACGUGAAAUCCCCGGGCUCAACCCGGGAACUGCGUCCGAUACUGGUUGGCUUGAAUCCGGGAGAGGGAUGCGGAAUUCCAGGUGUAGCGGUGAAAUGCGUAGAUAUCGGGAGGAACACCAGUGGCGAAGGCGACUACCUGGCCUGUUUCUUGACGCUGAGGCGCGAAAGCUAGGGGAGCAAACGGG
rnacentral:rRNA from 1 species